GGGUGAGAAUCCCGUCCACCGAAUGCCUAAGGUUUCCUGAGGAAGGCUCGUCCGCUCAGGGUUAGUCAGGACCUAAGCCGAGGCCGACAGGCGUAGGCGAUGGACAACAGGUUGAUAUUCCUGUACCACCUCUUUAUCGUUUGAGCAAUGGAGGGACGCAGAAGGAUAGAAGAAGCGUGCGAUUGGUUGUGCACGUCCAAGCAGUUAGGCUGAUAAGUAGGCAAAUCCGCUUAUCGUGAAGGCUGAGCUGUGAUGGGGAAGCUCCUUAUGGAGCGAAGUCUUUGAUUCCCCGCUGCCAAGAAAAGCUUCUAGCGAGAUAAAAGGUGCCUGUACCGCAAACCGACACAGGUAGGCGAGGAGAGAAUCCUAAGGUGUGCGAGAGAACUCUGGUUAAGGAACUCGGCAAAAUGACCCCGUAACUUCGGGAGAAGGGGUGCUUUCUUAACGGAAAGCCGCAGUGAAUAGGCCCAAGCGACUGUUUAGCAAAAACACAGGUCUCUGCGAAGCCGUAAGGCGAAGUAUAGGGGCUGACACCUGCCCGGUGCUGGAAGGUUAAGGAGAGGGGUUAGCGUAAGCGAAGCUCUGAACUGAAGCCCCAGUAAACGGCGGCCGUAACUAUAACGGUCCUAAGGUAGCGAAAUUCCUUGUCGGGUAAGUUCCGACCCGCACGAAAGGUGUAACGAUUUGGGCACUGUCUCAACCAGAGACUCGGUGAAAUUAUAGUACCUGUGAAGAUGCAGGUUACCCGCGACAGGACGGAAAGACCCCGUGGAGCUUUACUGUAGCCUGAUAUUGAAUUUUGGUACAGUUUGUACAGGAUAGGCGGGAGCCAUUGAAACCGGAGCGCUAGCUUCGGUGGAGGCGCUGGUGGGAUACCGCCCUGACUGUAUUGAAAUUCUAACCUACGGGUCUUAUCGACCCGGGAGACAGUGUCAGGUGGGCAGUUUGACUGGGGCGGUCGCCUCCUAAAGUGUAACGGAGGCGCCCAAAGGUUCCCUCAGAAUGGUUGGAAAUCAUUCGUAGAGUGCAAAGGCAUAAGGGAGCUUGACUGCGAGACCUACAAGUCGAGCAGGGACGAAAGUCGGGCUUAGUGAUCCGGUGGUUCCGCAUGGAAGGGCCAUCGCUCAACGGAUAAAAGCUACCCCGGGGAUAACAGGCUUAUCUCCCCCAAGAGUCCACAUCGACGGGGAGGUUUGGCACCUCGAUGUCGGCUCAUCGCAUCCUGGGGCUGUAGUCGGUCCCAAGGGUUGGGCUGUUCGCCCAUUAAAGCGGUACGCGAGCUGGGUUCAGAACGUCGUGAGACAGUUCGGUCCCUAUCCGUCGUGGGCGUAGGAAAUUUGAGAGGAGCUGUCCUUAGUACGAGAGGACCGGGAUGGACGCACCGCUGGUGUACCAGUUGUUCUGCCAAGGGCAUAGCUGGGUAGCUAUGUGCGGAAGGGAUAAGUGCUGAAAGCAUCUAAGCAUGAAGCCCCCCUCAAGAUGAGAUUUCCCAUAGCGUAAGCUAGUAAGAUCCCUGAAAGAUGAUCAGGUUGAUAGGUUCGAGGUGGAAGCGUGGUGACAUGUGGAGCUGACGAAUACUAAUAGAUCGAGGACUUAACCAU
rnacentral:rRNA from 1 species